rnacentral:lncRNA from 13 species
AUGUGUGUGUGUCUCUAUUAUAUGUAUGUAUAUAAUGUGGGUAUGCUUAUAUAUGUAUAUAAAUGGUUGUAUACAUAUUUACGCUUGUAUGUGCGUAUGUGUGUGCGUCUCUAUUAUAUGUAUGUAUAUAAUGUGGGUAUGCUUAUAUAUGUAUAUAAAUGGUUGUAUACAUAUUUACGCUUGUAUGUGCGUAUGUGUGUGCGUCUCUAUUAUAUGUAUGUAUAUAAUGUGGGUAUGCUUAUAUAUGUAUAUAAAUGGUUGUAUACAUAUUUAAGCUUGUAUGUGCGUAUGUGUGUGCGUCUCUAUUAUAUGUAUGUAUAUAAUGUGGGUAUGCUUAUAUAUGUAUAUAAAUGGUUGUAUACAUAUUUAAGCUUGUAUGUGCGUAUGUGUGUGCGUCUCUAUUAUAUGUAUGUAUAUAAUGUGGGUAUGCUUAUAUAUGUAUAUAAAUGGUUGUAUACAUAUUUAAGCUUGUAUGUGCGUAUGUGUGUGCGUCUCUAUUAUAUGUAUGUAUAUAAUGUGGGUAUGCUUAUAUAUGUAUAUAAAUGGUUGUAUACAUAUUUAAGCUUGUAUGUGCGUAUGUGUGUGCGUCUCUAUUAUAUGUAUGUAUAUAAUGUGGGUAUGCUUAUAUAUGUAUAUAAAUGGUUGUAUACAUAUUUAAGCUUGUAUGUGCGUAUGUGUGUGCGUCUCUAUUAUAUGUAUGUAUAUAAUGUGGGUAUGCUUAUAUAUGUAUAUAAAUGGUUGUAUAGAUAUUUACGCUUGUAUGUGUGUAUGUGUGUGUAUAUAUAUACACACAUAUAUACACACAUGUAUAUAUACACACAUAUAUACACACAUGUAUAUAUACACACAUCUAUACACACAUGUAUAUAUACACACAUCUAUACACACAUGUAUAUAUACACACAUCUAUACACACACGUAUAUAUACACACAUCUAUACACACACGUAUAUAUACACACAUCUAUACACACAUUAUACACACACGUAUAUAUACACACAUCUAUACACACACGUAUAUAUACACACAUCUAUACACACACGUAUAUAUACACACAUCUAUACACACACGUAUAUAUACACACAUAUAUACACACACGUAUAUAUACACACAUAUAUACACACACGUAUAUAUACACACAUCUAUACACACACGUAUAUAUACACACAUCUAUACACACACGUAUAUAUACACACAUCUAUACACACACGUAUAUAUACACACAUAUAUACACACACGUAUAUAUACACACAUAUAUACACACAUGUAUAUAUACACACAUAUAUACACACAUGUAUAUAUACACACAUAUAUACACACAUGUAUAUACACACAUAUAUACACACAUGUAUAUAUACACACAUAUAUACACACAUGUAUAUAUACACACAUAUAUACACACAUGUAUAUAUACACACAUAUAUACACACAUGUAUAUAUACACACAUAUAUACACACACGUAUAUAUACACACAUAUAUACACACACGUAUAUAUACACACAUAUAUACACACAUGUAUAUAUACACACAUAUAUACACACAUGUAUAUGUGUGUAUAUACACAUAUAUAAGCAUACACACAUAAAUUGUCAAUCGUGUCUUAGUCUUCACGUGGAAUUUUUUUUUUUAUGUUUUAAUCCUUUAUUAGAAACCAUGCAAACUUUGAUACAAAAAAAAUACAAGUGUAAUAAGAAUCUUUGUGUCAAUACAGUUCCUGGGAUUUCUCCUCUUUGCAGCCAUCCCAAGGCCUAG